UCAUAUAGCAGGGCUUUGUUGCAUGGGGUGUUAAACAGCAAGUACAUAUUGCUGAUGUUUUUCAGUGAGGAACAACUUCAAAGGCAUGAAGAGUUUGUGUCCAGCUUCCCAAGACCAGACCGAAGAGUCAACAUUGCUGAGGGGUAUCUGUCUCAUGCUAGUCAUCAAAAGAUGCUGCUUUACCUGACUUCAACUUUAACAUCAACAAGGCUGAAAGAUACACAGAGGAUAUACUCAGGGCUGUUACGACUCUUCAAGUGCAAAGUGGACAAGAGGCUUGAAAUUUGACAUGAAAGCACAUGAUAGCUGCCACAGAUUACAUAAUGUAUGUAGGGGUGAAGGAAGCAAUCAUAUUCAUUCUGAUGGAUGUGAUGAACAUGACAUAUGAAGAAGUAAACCUGGAGUGCAGGUCCACUGAAUUUGAUGCCAGCUAAGUUCCAGGAAGAGGAGUACACAUCACUGUUGAUGAUGAGUGACAGAUAACUUGAUGGACUAUAUAAUGUAGGGGAC